CAGAGGGGUGAGUGCUUCUGUUGCAAUGGCGUGCCUCAUGUAUUUGUUUUCUUUAUAUUUGUUAUCUUAUUGAUUGAUACAUGUGAAACCAAAUACUGGUAAGAAAUAUUUCAUUUUUUGUAAAUGAAAUCUACAACACGAUGAUUUUUUUUUUUCAUGUGAGUAACAAGGCGCGAGAAUGAAAGCAUGCAAGUGUAUUUUCAGACACAUGACGUAGUGUGUCUCUAUUAUUUGAUAUUUCAACUAACUUCUUGAAAUGUUUAUUUUGUCUAAUUCUUAUGAUACACCGGUAAUUUCUAUUCCAAUCAUUUUAACAUGCAAACUAUUUUAUUUGAAACUGUAGUACUAAAAUGAAAAGUUGUAUUACACAAUAAUUUGAUAGAAUAGUCUUUAAAAAUUUAAAUUGAUUAAAAAAAAACUUUACAAGGUAAUCCUUUCAGGGUUAGGUUCAGUAAAAAGAAAAACAAGGUCGCUUUCUGACCUCGUUCAACUCUGUUCUAUACAUGGCUAGUCAAGCUGUGGUUUCACAAAGCCUGAUUCAGGGAGGUAAAUAAAACUCCCAUUGCAUAGCAGUGUGCUCCAUUCCUGGUUUUACAAUGAGUUAGUAAGGCACACUGUGGCUAAUCAAGCUUAUAGUAAAAACUGGAAUGGCUUAAACUGCUAUGCAGUAGGAAUCUUAUUUCCCUCUCUGCUGAGGAACUCUAAUCUUGUACUAUCUUUCCUGGUUUAACAUUAGGGUAUGUGAACCCUUAGGGAAGGGUUUCAUUAAGAUGUGUGAAAGGGGAUGAAAACUGCUGCUGUGGAGAAUUAUAUUGGAAAUGUCUGCACCUGCAUGCAGUUGAGAUGGAUUGUGCUUUGUAUGUGUAUCAAUAAAAAAGUGACAAUAAAUUGUUUACCUUAUUGAAGUGUUUCCAACUCUCUCCUGAAAAGAACUUGUCUCCAAUAGCAUGUUGCCUUCCAGUGUGUAAGAGUAUUCUAAUUGUAGAAAGUGUGUGACUGUCAGCAGUCUGUUCCUUGGAGGUUAUGCCAGUGCCUGGCAUUGCUACAGCAGUGGAAAUCUCAGACAUGAGUCAAUCUUUAUUUUAUAUAGUGCCUUUCAUAGUGGACCAGCAUCACAAAGCGAUAGACAUGGUUUACUGAAAUAAUUAAGACUUGGCAGGAACAAAGACCAGGAAUGGAUUAGCUUUCAGGGACCAGGUCUGGGUACCACUUUAAACGUCAGGGUAUUUCCAGGGGGGCGUAGCUUGUCUGAUAGUUUAUAAAGACCUUGCUUGAUGCACCUCAUCACUGAACAGUGCAGAUCGUCUUCUAAAACACUCAAGAUGCCAGCUCUACCAAACACAUUGUUUCUGGUGAGUCUUUUAAGUAGAUGCCAUCUAUGAAAUAAGAAGUUUACGAUAAUUUGUUACAUUUAUAGACCAUAUGAGAGCUUACAUUGUGCAUUGUAAUAAUAAUAAUAAUAAUAAUAAUAAUAAUAAUAAUAAUAAAACAUUGUUUUAUACACUUACAUUUGAAUAUCGAGGACCUGUAAAAAUGACAAUUGUAUUUCUCAGUAAUUUCACAUGGUUACCUUUCCCAUCCGCAGGUACAGAUAAUAGCAAUGGGAUCCUGCAAUGUGUGGAAAUGAAAUAAUUUCUCAGUACAAUAUACUGCUUGUUACUUCUUUUGACUCUUGUUUAAAAUCUAGUAAAUAUGUGUAUGUUCUCUAUGGUAUGGUAUGUUUAAAGAUUCAAAUAUACUUAAAAGGAUAUGGCAGCCAUUUAUAAUGAUACUCAAUACCUGAGAUGGAACAAGUGCUAUCCUCUAUAAAAUGGUGUGUGGAAUUCCCCUCCAAACUCACCUGGUACUUUCCUCUAGAAUUCCCCUCCAAACUCACCUGGUACUUUCCUCUGGAAUUCCCCUCCAAACUCACCUGGUACUUUCCUCUGGAAUUACCCUGCUGGAAUUUCCCUUCACACAAUGGUAAAGGCAAGAUGCCCAACCCAAAUGUCCUCACAUACCCAACCCCAAUACUCAAGCCCACAAACACUCCACAUUGAUUUUUCAACCAGUUAUUCCUUUUAUUUAUUUACAUAUUUUGUAUUGUAGCCUAAUGUUAACAGAGCAAUCACUAAAUACUUUAGAGAAACAGUACAUGCACAUUCGGGGUGGUAACUGCCCCCACAUACACCUGUAACACCCAACACCUUGUCAAUGGCUUUGGUUUUGAAGCAAAGCAUUUUAAACCCAGCAACAUGUGCCUUUUAUUACCAUUCAGCAUGCUUUAAAGAAGCAAGCACCCAAAGAGACACCUGCAAAGCCCACAGAAAACUCUUCUCAACCCCCUUCGCAAGAAUAUUCAUGCAACCUGCCCCCCAGGACUGGGUGCACAACAUGCCUGCUGUCCUGCAAAGGGCUUUAAGCACCUCAGUUUGACCCCAGCUACACACCCCAUGACAUGCUGUACCUGUUUUAAUCUAGCCAGACUGCACAGUGCCCUGCAUUCACUGAAAACAGAAGCAACCUUUUAAAAAAUGAAGGCAGUGCUCUCUCAGACAUGCCUCACAUGCUAAAUUCUCUUUGGGAAGAUACCACAAGGUGAUGGACAGGAGACGAUACACAGCUGGUGUGGUUGAGCAUUGAAGCUAGGUCCCUGGAUUCAGAAAUCAAAGCGUGGAACAGACAUUCUCUGUACGGAGACUUUGCAGUACAGUACUGAGCUACUGGAAAGAGUUCAUUACAUCCAAAACAAGGUUAGUUAGGAUAUUGUCAGGACUGCCAGCAACAGUUUGGGAUUGCAGAAGGGCUCCAUGUGUCCAGGCUACCGUGUUGGGAGAACAGUAUGAGCAGACACUGAAAAAGUCUCUCCGAAAAGGUGUUUAAUACGACGGGGUGCAGUGAAGUGUGAUUCAGAUUUCUUUGACUUUUCCAUGCAUUUAAGGAAAGCAUUGUAUAUUUGUGCUGAUACGAACCGAGGUACACUGUGUGCAACUAAGCUAAAGGUAAAAAUAUGAAUUACUUUGGAAGAUGGGAGCAGGAAGAACGUGUGAGUGCCGAAUUCUUUGUAAAGACACCGUUACAUUUUUAAAGAAGGCGGUGUUGGGCAGAAACGUUCAGGACGGGUGGUAAGUCGGUUGCCGAUUGCUUUUUUUGCGGUGGCUAAAUAUUAAAGGCUUUAUUUAAAAAAAAAAAAAAAGUAAAUGUGAGACUGAAGUUUCCAUGAUUCCAUAAAUCGAAUUAAAUACACCUGUUAUUAAUAAUGGUGUACUCAUCUAGAUUACUGGAAACUGAUGUGCAACUAACAAGGGCUUUGCGUGUUGUGUGUUUAAUAAACUUCCUAACGUCCUCUUCGUUUGUGACUGAACAAAUCCUUUCAUACCGCGUUUCACACUUCUAAGACGAUACACUCCGUUUGAAAGUACGCGUUCAGGACCGAGCUUAAACCCAACUUGCACAACUAUCAAAAACACACCUAAAAUAUUCAGCGAGAAAAACAAACCCACCAUCGCAGCCACCAUGUGUACAGACACACGUUAACGGCGUCUCUCCAGGCUUUCUGCAUCGCUUCACAGUUUCAGGUGCCUUGGUCUAUCCUGCCCCCCAGUGCAAAUGCAGAUUACAGAAGAAAUGACCAAACGAUUCAGGAAUUGGGGUUUGUUUAGGAGUGACCCUAAUAAUAAUUCUCGUGCAUGUUCUAUUUUCAGGCAGUCGGCCCGGGGACUUUUAAUGGAAACUGCAGAGGAUCCAAUGACGGCAGGAGCUCUAUGGAUACCUUCAUUUUCCUACCGGUUGGAAUUGUGAUUGGUUUAGUCCUGUUCCUUCUAUUUACAAGCAUGCCUUCAUGGCUGGAUUAUGAUAACUUGAGAGGAGAUGACCUAGCCUGGCUGGAUUAUUGCCGUACCCUGGUUGACCGGAUGUUUCAAUGCUGCCAAAAAGUGAACCGUGAUGAAGGAGCGACUGUAAAGCUAUCUGUUGAAGAAACCCAGCCACUGAUACAGAGGAGCUCAGUGCGCAGGUGGAACUAGAAAAGAAACCUCUUUUUUAUUUAAUUUUUUUACCUCAUUAUCUA